rnacentral:rRNA from 1 species
GAUGAACGCUAGCUACAGGCUUGACACAUGCAAGUCGAGGGGAAACGACAUUGGAAGCUUGCUUCCGAUGGGCGUCGACCGGCGCACGGGUGAGUAACACGUAUCCAACCUGCCCAUCACUUGGGGAUAACCUUGCGAAAGUAAGACUAAUACCCAAUGAUAUCUCUAGAAGACAUCUGAAAGGGAUUAAAGAUUUGUCGGUGAUGGAUGGGGAUGCGUCUGAUUAGCUUGUUGGCGGGGUAACGGCCCACCAAGGCGACGAUCAGUAGGGGUUCUGAGAGGAAGGUCCCCCACAUUGGAACUGAGACACGGUCCAAACUCCUACGGGAGGCAGCAGUGAGGAAUAUUGGUCAAUGGGCGAGAGCCUGAACCAGCCAAGUAGCGUGCAGGAUGACGGCCCUAUGGGUUGUAAACUGCUUUUAUAAGGGAAUAAAGUGAGUCUCGUGAGACUUUUUGCAUGUACCUUAUGAAUAAGGACCGGCUAAUUCCGUGCCAGCCGCCGCCGUAA